GACGAACCGUGCGAACGUUGUUCGGAAUCACUGGGCAUAAAGGGCGCGUAGGCGGCUUUUCAAGUCAGGGGUGAAAUCCGGCAGCUCAACUGUCGAAGUGCCCUUGAUACUGAUGAGCUCGAGGGAGGUAGGGGUGUGUGGAACUUCCGGUGGAGCGGUGAAAUGCGUUGAUAUCGGAAGGAACGCCGGUGGCGAAAGCGACGCACUGGACCACUUCUGACGCUGAGGCGCGAAAGCUAGGGGAGCAAACGGG
rnacentral:rRNA from 1 species